rnacentral:tRNA from 1 species
GAAGUGGUGGUUCAGUGGUAGGAUUCUUGCCUUCCACGUAGGAUACCUGGGUUCGAUUUCCAGCCAAUGCA